UGCCCCUGUACCUGCAAAGGCCCUGACGUUGGACUGGGCCUUGGGCUUUCACUGGAUAAAGGGGUGCCAUGGUGUUGUGUCCAACACAGGGCCAGGCUUGCUGGGCUGGACUCCUUAUGACCAGGCUGGUGGCCUUAGCAUCUAGGACGAGAAGCACGAUUGUCUGAAAAGGAGCAGUUGACCAGGCAUGGAGUUUCUGCAGUCCUGUUGUUACCUGGCACUGGGCAGGCCUUGGUGGCACUCAGCAGGGGUUGUGGUCUGUAAACCUUUGGCAAGCAAGGUGCAUGGUGAUCCCCGACGCUGCCACCAGCAUGUAAGGGAGCCUCUAGGAUGGGCACACGGAGACUUCCGAAUUGGGGCAGGCGAGGGACGGAGAGUCUAUGCACCCCAGGACUUUGAGCUGUGGGGAGUUGUGCGCCUUAGGGCCAAAACCCUAUUGGUCUCCGCCCCGGGCUCUAAGGAUGGGUCGGGGAGUCUUGUGGCAGGGGCCGGGGGCGGAGAUUCGGCUGCCUGGGGAGAGGGCGGCUCCGCGUGGGGUGGGGGCGCCCGGGAGCGCAGGCUCCGCCCCCCCCGCCCCCGCCGGAAGGGAAGGGGAGGCUGUGGCCAGCUCUGAGCAAGACAGACUCCUCGGCCAGCGCGGUGGGGGGGUGGCCGGCCGGGGACUCGGCGACACCGAGCGGGUCAGAGCGGGCUCGUCGCCAACGCAGUCACGUGUGCGGCCCCACCUCUCGCGUCUGCCUCCCCCGCGCGCCGCGCUUUCCAUUCAUAAAUUCUCCGCUUGCUCCGCGGCUACCGAGCGUCGGAGCCAGCCGGGAGCGCCGCGCAGCCGCCUGCCUGCCGCCCAUGGGCCGCGCGCCCCGGCGCUGAGCCUCAAAAUGCAGCCCACAGCCACCAUGGCCACGGCAGCCACCACCACCACUGCCACUGUCGCCCUGACCACGACGUGGGAUAACGCUACGGGUCAACCCACUCAGGCAGAGCCUGAAGACCCAGUCCUGGACAACUACGUGCUACUGGUGGUGGUGACGGCGCUCUUUGUCGGGGGCACACUUGUGGUGCUGUCCGGCGCGCUACUGCUCUGCAAGCGCUGCUGGGAGGUCCACCGGCGCCUCCACAGAGCCACAGAGGAAGCAGAGAAGACCACCACCACUUAUCUGGACAACGGCACCCACCCUACCCAAGACCCUGACUUCAGGGGCGAGGAUCCUCAGGGCCAGGAUGCUGAGACUGAGCGCUUCCUGUCCACCAGCUCCACGGGCCGCCGGGUGUCCUUCAACGAGGCCGCCCUGUUUGAGCAGAGCCGGAAGGCACAGGACAAGGGCCGCCGGUACACCCUGACGGAGGGGGACUUCCACCACCUGAAGAAUGCCCGCCUCACGCACCUGCACCUGCCACCCCUCAAGAUCGUCACCAUCCACGAGUGUGACUCGGGGGAGGCCAGUGCAACCGCCACACCCCACCCCACAGCUGCCCCCAAGGCCAGCCUCGCCAUUUUCCAACCCCCGGGGAAGGCCCUCACCGGCCGCUCUGUGGGCCCCAGCUCCGCCCUGCCAGGUGACCCCUACAACUCGGCCGUGGGGCCUGCUGACUUCGAGAUCAGCCCCUCAGCAUCCAGUGACUCCGGGGAAGGCACUUCGUUGGAGGCGGGUGCCAGGAGCGCCAAGCCUGGUGGGCCAGGGGCUGCGGCAGGGCCCGGGGAGGCGGGCCCCGUGCUACAGUUCUUCACCCGACUGAGGCGCCAUGCCAGCCUGGAUGGGGCUAGUCCCUACUUCAAGGUCAAAAAGUGGAAGCUGGAGCCCAGCCAGCGGGCAUCCAGCCUGGACACGAGAGGAGCCCAGAAGGAGCCUGUGAUUCUUGGAGUGAUUACAGUGAAACGGAGGCAAGGAAGCGCCCAGAACCUGUUUGCUGGGUGACUCUCAUCCCCACCCGAGGCUUUCCCACUGAGGCCUCUUAUCAUGGGAGGGUCUUGGUCCCUGGCAGGGCUGGAGCUGGCAGGACAGGGCUUCACCUCUCUGCUCUCACACCUGGCCCUCACUCUCUCACGCCUUCCUUUGGCCGGCUACACAUUAGCCAGGCCAUGUCUGUCACCGGGUAGCCAGUCCAGGUCCUUGCUCCGGCCACACCUGUCUGCCAGGGCUGCUCAGGAGGCCCUUUGGCUCACCCCUUCCCUGGGCUUUCUGCUCUCUAUGCCUUGGUUUCCUCAUCUGCACAGCAGGGUACACACUCACGUGGCCCAGGGUGGUGGUGGGGGGGGAAGGGGAUGGGCCCAGGGCUAGGAGGGGCCCCGGCAGGCUGCCGUGCCUUCUUCUACACAGGCUCCCCCAAGCGGCACCACUUCCAGCGGCAGCGGGCCGCCAGCGAGAGCAUGGAGCAGGAGGAGGGGGGCGCCCCCCAGGCCGACUUCAUUCAGUACAUCGCCAGUGCAGGAGAUGCAGUGGCCUUCCCAAGCCCCCACCCCUUUCUGACCAGCCCUGCCAGCUCGCCCCCCGCUCUCGGCAGGCUAGAGGCAGCCGAGGAGGUGGGCGCCGCGGGAGGAUCCAGCCCCGAGUCCCCCCCGGAGCGCAGCAGCAGCAGCAUGGGGCCUGAGCAGCAGCAAGACUCAGAUGGUGAGCGAGAUGCAGGGCCGGAGCAGGCCCAGACCAUCUACCGCGACAUCUGGAGCCUGCGCGCUUCGCUCGAGCUGCAUGCAGCCACCGCCUCAGACCACAGCAGCAGCGGCAACGACCGCGACUCCGUGCGUAGCGGCGACAGCUCGGGCUCGGGCUCCGGGGGCACCGUACCCGCCUUCCCUCCACCUUCACCGCCACCCACACCGCGCCCAGCGGAGAGCGAGGCAAGUGGGCCCCGCAAGCUGCUGCAGAUGGACAGCGGCUACGCCAGCAUCGAGGGCCGCGGUGCGGGUGAUGAGGGGCCUCCCAGCGCGCCAGAGAAACGCUCCUCCUUCACGAGCGCGGGCCACGAGGCCACCGUAGGCGGCAGCUUCGAGGGGCCCAUGCCAGAGGUGCCCUCCCGACCCCGCAGCCCGCGUGCCUGGCCCCGCCGCGCCCCACGCCGGGACUACAGUAUUGACGAGAAGACGGAUGCACUGUUCCAUGAGUUCCUCCGCCAUGACCCGCACUUCGAUGAUGCUCCGUCUGCAGCAGCACGCCACCGCGCGCGUGUGCAUCCCCACACGCGCAAGCAGUGGCAGCAGCGGGGUAGGCAACACAGCGACCCUGGUGCGCGAGCUGCGGCCCCAGCCCCCUCUGGGGCACCAACCGGCGCCCCCCGCCCUGCGCGCGCACCCCUGCGCCGCGGGGACAGCGUCGACUGCCCACCAGAAGGCCGCGCAGGAGAGGACCCAGCUGCCCUCGCCAUCCCCGUCAUCGAGGAGGAGCCCGGCGGCGGCUGCCCAGGCUCUGGCCUGUGCACCGGGCCUCAGGGCGCUCUCCUGGACAAGCUGGCAGUCAGCCUCGACGACAGACUCUUCCCGCCGCGCCUGGCCCAGCCUGUCGCUGUGGCCCCUGCGCUGGCCGCAGCCGCGCCCACAUCCCCCGACCACAGCCCCGUCUAAGUCUGUGUCCUGCGCCCACCUCGUCAGCUUAUACAGCACGGGCGGGGCCUUGGCACCGGACACACCUGGGGCGCGACGCCCUGGUGCGCAUGCGCUGGGACUGGGGGGCCUCGCGCACAAAGCAGUGCCCCAGGCGCCCCGCGCCGCCCCAGGAUGCGCACGCACACAGUUCAUACCGGGCAUUUAGCUGGGUCGACUAGAGGGAGUGUGGCGGAUUCUCAUCUUCAGACUCCUGAAGACCACGUUCCGCUUCCCUUGGUCCUGGACAGCGACCUCGAGCUGGUGACUGAGCGUAGCACACACCACUGCCGCGUCUCGGGCCCAUGGCGAUGGGUAGCGCAUGCGCAGCGCCUGCAUCCUAGAGGGGCGAUGCACAGCAACUGCGCUAGACGCAUGCGCAGAGAGACCCCUCCCAGGACCAAUUGGGCCUCGAGGCGCGCCAGAGUCCGCGCCAGGGCACAAGCACAGUGACUGCGGGGUGCCGAGGACCCUUGAAGAAUGCAUCCGCCCUGGGCUAGGAGGUUGGCCCAAGACCGCGGCCGCCAACCCCUUGAAGCCGUUUACCUCACCGCGGCGAGUGCUCGCAGCAGUCCGCGCCCCCUCCAAGCAAUAACCGCAUCUGCUGCUGCCAUCCCCAGCCCUAGAUACACCCUCCAGCCCUCCUCCCAGUGUCUGCAUCCCGACGCCCGCCCUCUGCAUGUUGGGUGGGCCGCACGCCCCUACUGCAUCAAUCCAAAGAGCCGCUAGGACUCACCACUGUUUCAGACACAAAAUCCAAACGAUCAAGGUUUCAAGUUUCCCAAGCUUUAUUUAUUGCCAAAAGAUGGGGCAGCCCUCGCCAGCGGCCGAGUCGCCCUGCCCCGUCCCUUCCUUCGAAGCUUCGCACUGUCAGUGUGCCAUCCAGUGAUGGAGUUUGUGUUUUGUUUUCUGGUUGAUUAUAUUUACUGCAUACUCUUGCUGGCUCUGAGUUUUCUCAUGGGAUCCAAGAGCACAGAGGCCUUGGGGGGAAAGGGAUCAGGAUCUCCAGGCCACUGAACUGUGCAGCCAUGGGCUCUGGAGCUUUCUGGAGGCUGGGUCACCAAGACAGCACAGAGAUCCAACAUGGCCAAAGGCCAUGUCCCUACCAGGCACUACCAGCAAGACCUGCAGACCCCGGCCAGCCCCUCCACCACAGGAUCUACAAAGGGCCCCAGGCUCAGACUCUGAUCACCCACUUGAUAAUACAUCCUGCCACCCACAAUUCCCAAACAUCCCUCAUGACCACAACUCAAAUCCACCUGUUUUAUUUUUUCUUAAAAAAAAAAAAAAGAAAAAA